UACGAAGGGGGCUAGCGUUGCUCGGAAUCACUGGGCGUAAAGGGUGCGUAGGCGGGUCUUUAAGUCAGGGGUGAAAUCCUGGAGCUCAACUCCAGAACUGCCUUUGAUACUGAAGAUCUUGAGUUCGGGAGAGGUGAGUGGAACUGCGAGUGUAGAGGUGAAAUUCGUAGAUAUCUGGAGGAAUACCGGUGGCGAAGGCGGCAUCCUGGACCGAUAUUGACACUGAUGAGCGAAAGCCAGGGGAGCAAACGGG
rnacentral:rRNA from 1 species